rnacentral:lncRNA from 1 species
AUUGUACCACUGCACUCCAGUCUGGCCAACAGAGUGAUACCCUGUCUCUAAUUAAUUAAUGCUCUUUAUGUCGUCGUCCUGUUUUAUUUUCAUCACACCCUGACAUCAUCUGUCCUGAUUUUUCACCACUUGUUUCCUCCAUGUUUCUGUAGAGAAACACCACGAGGGCAAAAACCUUACCUGGCCUCACAGCUGAAUCCCCAGCACCAGCACAGGGCCCGGUGCAUACAAGGGGCAUGAUGGUUUGUGGAAUGAAUGAAUGAAUGCAUGAAUGAGGGACCUAACCCCAUUGGAGGAAGUCAGGAAAGGCUUGCUGAAGAAGUGGUAUCUGAAGUGGCAUUGACGGGUGUUCUCCAGAGCAGCAGCAGCACCAGGCCACCUGGAAAUGUGAUAGAAAUGCAGGUUCUCAGGCUGGGUGUGGUGGCUCACACCUGUAAUCCCAGCACUUUGGGAGGCCAAGGCUGGAAGAUAACUUGAGCCCAGGAGUUUGAGGUCAGCCUGGACAACAUAGUGAGAUCCCAUCUUUGCAAAAAAAAAUUUUUUUAAUUAGCCAGGCACGGUGGCAAGUGCCUCUAGCCCCAGCUACUCAGGUAACUGGGUAGAA